AGCGAACGCUGGCGGCAGGCCUAACACAUGCAAGUCGAACGAACUCUUCGGAGUUAGUGGCGGACGGGUGAGUAACACGUGGGAACGUGCCUUUAGGUUCGGAAUAACUCAGGGAAACUUGUGCUAAUACCGAAUGUGCCCUUCGGGGGAAAGAUUUAUCGCCUUUAGAGCGGCCCGCGUCUGAUUAGCUAGUUGGUGAGGUAAAGGCUCACCAAGGCGACGAUCAGUAGCUGGUCUGAGAGGAUGAUCAGCCACAUUGGGACCGAGACACGGCCCAAACUCCUACGGGAGGCAGCAGUGGGGAAUCUUGCGCAAUGGGCGAAAGCCUGACGCAGCCAUGCCGCGUGAAUGAUGAAGGUCUUAGGAUUGUAAAAUUCUUUCACCGGGGACGAUAAUGACGGUACCCGGAGAAGAAGCCCCGGCUAACUUCGUG
rnacentral:rRNA from 1 species